GGGCGUUACAGCGUUUUGCUCCAGAUUCUGUCUCCGGGAGGAGAGCCUUCUGUGCUCCAGGCAGGAGGAAAGGAGGCGUUCGAUUCAUCAAGUCCAAGUUGAGCUACAUGAUCAUGAAGAACAUUCAAGCAGGUAUGGACCCCAUUUUGUUGGCCCAUUCAUCCACGGAUGGAGAGUGUUUGGAUUUUCAGGUGCUAUUCACUAAACCACCUCAAAAGGUAGGGAAUAAACAAGGCAUCUGCAAAACACUUUGCCCCAUGCUCAGAACCCAGUAUGUGCUCCGCAGAUAAGCAUUAGCAUUAGUUAGUAUCUCUUGACUAAGAAAUGUGUGUUCACCCACGGAUGUGUGCCCCCCCCCCCGGACUAACUGCUCAGCCACUAGCAGGGUGGGGGCGGGGGGUUGGGUCACUAUCCC
rnacentral:lncRNA from 1 species